rnacentral:rRNA from 1 species
CCUACGGGAGGCAGCAGUGGGGAAUAUUGCACAAUGGGGGAAACCCUGAUGCAGCAACGCCGCGUGAAGGAUGACUGCCCUACGGGUUGUAAACUUCUUUUAUAAAGGAAUAAAGUGAGGCACGUGUGCCUUUUUGUAUGUACUUUAUGAAUAAGGAUCGGCUAACUCCGUGCCAGCAGCCGCGGUAAUACGGAGGAUCCGAGCGUUAUCCGGAUUUCUUGGGUUUAAAGGGAGCGUAGAUGGGUUGUUAAGUCAGUUGUGAAAGUUUGCGGCUCAACCGUAAAAUUGCAAUUGAUACUGGCAGUCUUGAGUACAGUUGAGGUAGGCGGAAUUCGUGGUGUAGCGGUGAAAUGCUUAGAUAUCACGAAGAACUCCGAUUGCGAAGGCAGCUUACUAAACUGCCACUGACAUUGAUGCUCGAAAGUGUGGGUAUCAAACAGGAUUAGAUACCCUAGUAGUC